rnacentral:rRNA from 1 species
UAAUACGGAGGUGGCUAGCGUUGUUCGGAAUUACUGGGCGUAAAGGGCGCGUAGGCGGCUUUGCAAGUCAGAUGUGAAAGCCCCGGGCUUAACUCGGGAACUGCAUCUGAAACUGCUUAGCUUGAGUCCUGGAGGGGGUAGUGGAAUUCCCAGUGUAGCGGUGAAAUGCGUAGAUAUUGGGAGGAACACCUGCGGCGAAGGCGGCUACCUGGACAGUGACUGACGCUGAGGCGCGAAAGCUAGGGGAGCGAACGGGAUUAGAUACCCCGG